rnacentral:rRNA from 1 species
AAUGAACGCUGGCGGCGUGCUUAACACAUGCAAGUCGUACGAGAAAUCCUCUGCUUGCAGGGGAGAGUAAAGUGGCGCACGGGUGAGUAUCGCGUGGGUAAUCUACCCUUGAAUCCAGGAUAACAUUUCGAAAGGGGUGCUAAUACUGGAUAACAUCCUGAUGGUUUAGGCCAUAAGGAUCAAAGAUAGCCUCUACAUGUAAGCUAUUGUUAAGGGAUGAGCCCACGUACCAUUAGCUAGUUGGUGGGGUAAGAGCCUACCAAGGCAACGAUGGUUAGCUGGUCUGAGAGGAUGAUCAGCCACACUGGAACUGAAACACGGUCCAGACUCCUACGGGAGGCAGCAGUGAGGAAUUUUGCGCAAUGGGGGAAACCCUGACGCAGCAACGCCGCGUGAGUGGAGAAGGCUUUCGGGUCGUAAAGCUCUGUCAAGAGGGAAGAAAGUAGGGGAUGGUAAUACUGUUUUCUAUUGACGGUACCUCUGAAGGAAGCACCGGCUAACUCCGUGCCAGCAGCCGCGGUAAUACGGGGGGUGCAAGCGUUAUUCGGAUUUAUUGGGCGUAAAGAGCGCGUAGGCGGUUUAUCAAGUCAGAUGUGAGAGCCCUGGGCUCAAUCUGGGAAGUGCAUUUGAAACUAGUAGACUUGAGUAUGGGAGAGG